CCCUUAGACGUUCUGGGCCGCACGCGCGCUACACUGACCAGUGCAACAAGCAUCCGUCCUUGGCCGACAGGCCCGGGCAAUCUUUGAACGCUGGUCGUGAUGGGGAUAGAUGAUUGCAAUUAUUCAUCUUCAACGAGGAAUUCCUAGUAAACGCAAGUCAUCAGCUUGCAUUGAUUACGUCCCUGCCCUUUGUACACACCGCCCGUCGCACCUACCGAUUGAAUGGUCCGGUGAAAUCUUCGGAUCUGAGAGAUGUCUGAUUAAUUUCGGACGCCUUUUGGAAAAGUUGUUUAAACCUUNCNAUUUAUNGGAAGGUGAANUCGUANCA
rnacentral:rRNA from 1 species